rnacentral:rRNA from 1 species
UGGGGAAUCUUGCACAAUGGGGGCAACCCUGAUGCAGCGACGCCGCGUGAGCGAUGAAGCCCUUCGGGGUGUAAAGCUCUUUCGGCUGGAACGAUAAUGACGGUACCAGCAGAAGAAGCUGCGGCUAACUACGUGCCAGCAGCCGCGGUAAUACGUAGGCAGCGAGCGUUGUUCGGAGUUACUGGGCGUAAAGAGUGCGUAGGCGGCGGCCUAAGUCUGGUGUGAAAUCUCCCGGCUCAACUGGGAGGGUGCGCCGGAAACUGGGUUGCUAGAGUGUGGGAGAGGUAAGCGGAAUUCCUGGUGUAGCGGUGAAAUGCGUAGAUAUCAGGAGGAACACCUGCGGUGUAGACGGCUUACUGGACCACCACUGACGCUGAGGCACGAAAGCGUGGGGAGCAAACAG